GACUUUAAUUAACAACAUUCUAUUAUAUCUUUGAAAGUUGCUAAGGGAGUAGAUCUUAAAUGUUCUCACUAUACAUGCAAAAACGAUAAUUAUGAAAAAUGCAGAUGAAGGUUAUGCAUAGCACAGUUCACUAUAGCUCCUUAUAGCUAAGAAACCCUGGUGGAGGGGAAUGGAAGUACCCAGAUGAAAUUUUAUAGGAAAAAUAAUGUACCCAGUGAGUUACGUGGGAGAACCAGAUGAGACAAAUCAUUCCAAGUAACUUUGGUAUCUCCAUGGAGCUCACAUGUGAGGAUGCUAUGAUUCAGGAGGACAUGUACAAAAUAAGAACAGUAGCAGCAAUGGUCAGUAAUUUAUCACUCCUCAAGCAAAUGCUGCCGAAUGCCUGCUGUGUGCUAAGGGAUGAGCUACAUAGGCUUUCCUGGAGAUACAAAGAUAAUUAGAAGUGGUCAUUUCUAUUAAAAAGAUAAACUAUUUAGAAGAAAAAGCUCGCUCUGGAAAAAAAAAACGCACAAAGUUGAAAAUAAAGAGGAGAAGAUGCUUAAUCCUCAGUGGUAUUUCAGUGGCAUGGAGCACCCUGACUCUUAUGAUGGGAACAUUCUUAUUUCAAUCACUCAGAAAGAUGCCUUUGGCAAGAGAAUCACAGCUGACAGCAAAUUAAUGACUAUGAUGCUGUGAUUAGUUGAGAUUACAGGCUACAGAGGACCUGUCUGAGCAUUUACCACUGUCAUCAUACUGAUGCUGGCAUCUAUUUGGGAUUUAUAUUGUUCAAAAAGGAGGAUGUGGUUCAGUUAUAGUAAGUCUUAUAGAAAGGAGAAGACAAAACUUAAUGGAUAUUUUAGUACAUACCAGUCCUUGAAUGGAUUUAUAAAAUAAAACUUCUCAAUCAACUUAAUGAAGAAGGGAUAAAAAAUUAGCAGAACAACAACACCCAAACCAUCUACUCAGAUACUAAGUAGCACUGCACAUCCUUCCAAAUUCUAGCCAAAAAGAAAUAAUGAUUUCUGUAAUCCCCAGCAAUGACUUUUGCAGGGGGAAGAUUUCAAAUAAACGUCUAUUUGCUUUAGGUAAGCUUCACUGAAUCGGCCUUAUUUGAUUUCAGAUCCUCCUAAGGGAAGAGAUUUCAGGAUUUCCUGGUUGUAAAAUGGAAAAGAACAUUUUGCUGAACUUGUAUGACAUCAUCUAAAGCAUUAAAAGGGCAGAUAAUCAUGGGUUCUCUACCUGUUUACCAAAGCUUCUUUACCUCUUCAAUCUACUUUAUUUCCAAAUGUCAGACUGGUU